GGACACCUGCUGUUUCCAGGAGUGCCACUGCGCUGCGGCCCUGGCCCAAACAGCCGCGCCGGCCCGAACAGCCGUGCUGGCGGCCCGUGCAGCUUCUACACCUGGGAAUCUCCUGGUCUGUGGGCAAUAAAGAUCCAUUUGGAAAUGCAGCAUCCACUCACCAUCUGCGGAUUCACUGGGAGCUGCAAUCCUCAAUGGUAUGCACAUUUAAUGUUUUUACAGGUCUCUAAUAUAUUAUACUUUUGUAAUGUAAUUUUCAGAAGAAUCUGAAAAUGUUGUCUUUUUCACCCCCUCU
ensembl:lncRNA